UACGUAGGGUGCAAGCGUUGUCCGGAAUUAUUGGGCGUAAAGAGCUCGUAGGCGGUUCGUCGCGUCGGCUGUGAAAUCCCGGAGCUCAACUCCGGGUCUGCAGUCGAUACGGGCGGACUUGAGUACUGCAGGGGAGACUGGAAUUCCUGGUGUAGCGGUGAAAUGCGCAGAUAUCAGGAGGAACACCGGUGGCGAAGGCGGGUCUCUGGGCCACUACUGACGCUGAGAAGCGAAAGCAUGGGGAGCGAACAGG
rnacentral:rRNA from 1 species